rnacentral:rRNA from 1 species
UACGUAGGUGGCAAGCGUUGUCCGGAAUUAUUGGGCGUAAAGCGCGCGCAGGCGGUUUCUUAAGUCUGAUGUGGAAGCCCACGGCUUAACCGUGGAAGGUCAUUGGAAACUGGGAGACUUGAGUGCAGAAGAGAAGAGCGGAAUUCCACGUGUAGCGGUGAAAUGCGUAGAGAUGUGGAGGAACACCAGUGGCGAAGGCGGCUCUUUGGUCUGUAACUGACGCUGAGGCGCGAAAGCGUGGGGAUCAAACAGG